GUGCGUAGUGGAUGAUGUUUAGACUUCGAGGUACAGUUUGGAUUGGAGAAGAAAGUUGGCGAGGUGAUCUCGGAUGAGGAGCUGCCAGCCUUUGUUGAUUUGUUGGUUUAGACCAAGAAUAUUGACUGUGUUCCAGGCUGUGAGGACAUGGUCUACAUUUUCAAUUUCAGGGCAGCCAUGGCGACAGUGGGGCUGUGUAUCCAUAUCAAAUUUGCUUCUAUGGGCAUUCAAUCUGUUGUGCCCACUUCUGAGUCGGUGGAGUGUUGUAUUGAUCAUUAUGUUUGGAUGAUGCCAUUCUGUGGUUCCAAGCCUGGUUUUUGAGGGCUAUGAUUUCGUGUGUAGAUAGAGGAUUGUUGAUGGAGUUUUCAAGUGGGAUGUUUGCUGCUUCAUUGGCCAGUUUGUCAGCCUUUUCGUUGCCAGAGAUGCCGACAUGACUAGGGAUCCAGGGCUGGCUCCACCAUAUGCGAUGAUUCCAUAGUCAAUCUUGCUUCGGAUUAUGGUUUUGAAGAGGAUUGCUAGGUUGGAGAUUACUGCGUCAAUGUGGGCUGACCAGUUUAGUUUUCUAUCAAAUGUGAUGCCUAAGAAUUUGGCGCUCUCAGCUGACGGAAUUCUCCUGCCGUGAAUGAAGAGAAGAGGAGGCUGGGGGAUGCUAUGAGAUCUAGAGAGCACCAGUAUAGUGGAUUUUUCUGGGAGGAAAUCUAAACCCCACUUCUUACCCCAUCUGUACAACUUAUCCAGGUUGCUGAUGGUGUUGUCUUUUAGGGAUCUUAAUUCCUCUUGGAGAAGCUGGAUUUCCGCUUUCAUUUUUUCAAUUUGGUUCGUGUCCGGCGAGCUUGUAUGCACAGGCGACAAAACUGUUGGGCGACGGACUACUGAGCUGUAGGAUCCGCUGAUGUGUGUGCGGGCCUCUUUAACUGUUACAUUUUUGUCUAUGGCGUACUUGAUUAGGCUGAUAAGUUCUUCAUAAAUUGGGCAGUUUUUAGAUUCGGAGGAGUGGGAUAAACUGCUGCAAUUAAUACACUUUUGGAUAC